CCGUGGGUUGGCUUUUUAUUGGCU
rnacentral:siRNA from 1 species